rnacentral:rRNA from 1 species
UACGUAGGUGGCAAGCGUUGUCCGGAUUUACUGGGCGUAAAGAGCGCGCAGGCGGUCGUUCAAGUCGCGUGUGAAAGCCCCCCGGCUCAACUGGGGAGGGUCACGCGAUACUGAUCGACUCGAAGGCAGGAGAGGGUAGUGGAAUUCCCGGUGUAGUGGUGAAAUGCGUAGAUAUCGGGAGGAACACCAGUGGCGAAGGCGGCUACCUGGACAGGUACUGACGCUAACAGCGCGAAAGCUAGGGGAGCAAACAGGG